UGGGGGAUAUUGCACAAUGGGGGAAACCCUGAUGCAGCGACGCCGCGUGGAGGAAGAAGGUUUUCGGAUUGUAAACUCCUGUCGUAAGGGACGAUAAUGACGGUACCUUACAAGAAAGCCACGGCUAACUACGUGCCAGCAGCCGCGGUAAAACGUAGGUGGCAAGCGUUGUCCGGAAUUACUGGGUGUAAAGGGAGCGCAGGCGGACCGGCAAGUUGGAAGUGAAAACUAUGGGCUCAACCCAUAAACUGCUUUCAAAACUGCUGGCCUUGAGUAGUGCAGAGGUAGGCGGAAUUCCCGGUGUAGCGGUGGAAUGCGUAGAUAUCGGGAGGAACACCAGUGGCGAAGGCGGCCUACUGGGCACCAACUGACGCUGAGGCUCGAAAGUGUGGGUAGCAAACAGGA
rnacentral:rRNA from 1 species